rnacentral:rRNA from 1 species
GAUGAGGCAUGCAAGUCGAACGGAAUAAUGACUUCGGUUAUUAUUUAGUGGCGGAAGGGUUAGUAAUACAUAGAUAAUCUGUCCUCAACUUGGGAAUAACGGUUGGAAACGACCGCUAAUACCGAAUGUGGUAUGUUUAGGCAUCUAAAACAUAUUAAAGAAGGGGAUCUUCGGACCUUUCGGUUGAGGGAGAGUCUAUGGGAUAUCAGCUUGUUGGUGGGGUAAUGGCCUACCA